AUGAUCUCUCUCUCCCUCCGUCACUCUCUCUCUCUGUCUGUAUCUCUGUCUCUCUCUAUCUCUCUCUCUCUCCCUGUGUCUCUGUCUCUCACUCUCCCUCUCUGUCUGUAUCUCUCUCUCUCUCUCUCUCUCCCUGUGUCUCUGUCUCUCUCUCUCUCUGUCUCUCCGUCUCUCUCUCUCCGUCUCUCUCUCUCUCCGUCUCUCUCUCCGUCUCUCUCUCUCUCCGUCUCUCUCUCUGUCUCUCCGUCUCUCUCUCUCUGUCUCUGUUUCUGUCUCUCUCUCUGUCUCUCUCUGUCUGUAUCUCUGUCUCUCUCUCUCUAUCUCUCUCUCUCUCUCCCUGUGUCUCUGUCUCUCUCUCUGUCUCUCCGUCUCUGUUUCUCUGUCUCUCUCUCUGUCUCUCCGUCUCUGUUUCUCUGUCUCUCUCUCUGUCUCUCCAUCUCUCUGUCUGUCUGUCUGUCUCUCUCUCUGUCUGUAUCUCUGUCUCUCUAUCUCUCUCUCUCUCCCUGUGUCUCUGUCUCUCUCUCUGUCUCUCCGUCUCUGUUUCUCUGUCUCUCUCUCUGUCUCUCCGUCUCUGUUUCUCUCUGUCUCUCUCUGUCUCUCCAUCUCUCUGUCUGUCUGUCUGUCUCUCUCUCUGUCUCUCUCUGUCUGUAUCUCUGUCUCUCUCUAUCUCUCUCUCUCUCCCUGUGUCUCUGUCUCUCUCUCUGUCUCUCCGUCUCUGUUUCUCUGUCUCUCUCUCUGUCUCUCCGUCUCUGUUUCUCUCUCUCUCUCUGUCUCUCCAUCUCUCUGUCUGUCUGUCUGUCUCUCUCUCUGUCUCUCUCUCUGUUUCUCUGUCUCUCUCUCUGUCUCUCCGUCUCUGUUUCUCUGUCUCUGUCUCUCUCUGUCUCUCCAUCUCUCUGUCUGUCUGUCUCUGUUUCUGUCUCUCUCUCUGUCUCUCUCUGUCUGUAUCUCUGUCUCUCUCUGUCUCUCCGUCUCUCUCUCUCUGUCUCUCUCUGUCUCUCCGUCUCUCUCUCUCUGUCUCUCUCUGUCUCUCUCUCUGUUUCGGUCUCUUCUAUAGCUACCUAA
rnacentral:lncRNA from 1 species